UGCGCAUCCGGGGCCUGUGCUCUGCAAUGGGAGAGACCACGACGAUUGGUGUCAGGGUUCACCACAGUUCCAGAGGAGGUUGACCUGACCAUCAGCAGGGCUACUUAGAGGCCUGGUCCUUCUUCACAGCGAGUGGGCUUGGGCCCAACUCUGAAUCCAGCCAUGCAAACACUGCCCAUGAAGCCCUAGCAGCCUGCACAUCUGCUUCUUCCUCCGCUUGGCUCUCAUGGCGUGGAGGUUUCUAAGAAGAUGGUGCUAAUGCCAAUAGCCUGCCUGAGCAUUAAUUCAACCCAUGGAAGAGGGCAGAACUGAGACAGAAAAAAGAAGCCAGAAUCCUGAAACUCACUCUACACCUGGGCUUGAGCAAAUUAUUUUAAUUUAUAUUUAAGCUAUUUUGAUUUGCAUAUCCAAUGCUGUGCUUUGUUGGAGGUGAAGGGCUACCAAGAAAAAACUACUGAGACAUCAAGACAUUGUGAAUGGAGAAUGUUUGGGAGCCUCUGGAUCAAACUGUCCUUGCUUUUGUCUCUGGAUGGACCACCAAAAUCUUUUAAGGUUACUGGUUCUUGGUGAAUCCAGCCACCAGGCCAUGAGGACACUCAAGCAGCCCUGUCAAGAGGUCCUUGUGGAGAGGAAAAGAGGCUUCCCCCCCAAUAACUACCACCAACUUGCCAGUAUGUGUGAACUACAUUGAAAGCAGAUCCUUCCUCCCCAAACUUUCAGAUGACUGCAGCCUUGUGAGAGACUCCAAGCUAAAAGUGUCUAACCAAGUCAUUACCUGAUUUCCAAUCUGCAAAAACUAUGCUAUAUAGUAAAUGAUUGUUUUUAUUUUAAGUCACUAAUUUUUGGAGUUAUUUGGUAUGCAGCAAAUCUAUUGAUAAUUAAUACAAGGUUAUUUUGCAAAUAAUGGACAUGAAUUUCAGAGAGCACCAUGGAUGGGUUUUCAGGAGUGGUGGAAGGAAGAGAGAAGAUGAAAGAAUAGGAUAUGUAAAGAGUUUUAAAAGGAUUAGAGUGUGGGAGAUAAGAGGGAUCUAGUAGGAGGGUUUGUGGUGGCUGACAUAAAUUAGGAUAAAUGAAAAAAUGAGAUAGUUGUCAAGAUAGAUAAUGGUGGUGAGAACACGUGUUUGGUGGUGAAGAAGGAGGGAGUUUCUGAAAAUCUGUCUUCACCUUUGAUUAUGGAGGUGGAAGGGCGAGGGAGGGUGGUCUUGGCCCCUGGGCCAGUACACUCUUGGUCACUGGUCUUACAUGUGCUCUGUGUGGAUCUCUGUUAAUAGUAUGUGUUUAUUUCUCAUUUGAUUUUCAUAUUAUUAUCCUUACUUCACAAGUGAGAAUGUUGAGACCUAAGGAGGUUAAGUAUCUGGUCUGAGGGCACAUAGCCAAGUAAGACAGAGUAAGAAUUUGAAUUUGGGUCUCCUGACUUUAAAUUCUGCCCCAAUUCCAUAUUUUACCUGGAGACAGAAACAUUUUAAAACCAAAGUACUUUAAUUUUCUAAGGGUAGGAUGGAAGUUAGUCAUCUCAGACAUGGAUUUAUGGAGUGUAAUUAUAAAUUCUCUUUAAAAAGCCCACAUGAUACCUCUGCAUAAUGACAUAGAAAAGAAUCCAAUAUGAGAGCCAUUUACAGUUGAUCAGAGUAAUAUCAAGUACCUGGAAGAUGCCAGCAAAUAAAAGAGAUAAGAACCAGAAGUACAAAAUGGAUGUUAAAUUCAUUGUUUUAUUGCCCUUCUCCCCAGUUAGAAUGUAAAUUCUAUGAGGGCAGAACUUUGCCUUGUGCCUGGCACUCAGUAGGUGCUCAAUAAAUAUUAGUGUGUAUUAAAAGAAUGAAGACAUGGGGUUCAGCCAAACGAAAAGUCUUUUGGAUGAAAACAUUCUAAGUAACAUGUUCAAGAUAAGAGAGCGGGUCAGGACAAGUCGGGGGCAGAGUUAUGAGGCUGAAGAAAUUUGUCAUCAGGACUUGUUCCUUGUCUAUCCUGCCUGCCGAUCCAGACUCCAUGGCAGGUUCACGUUCAGAGACAUUUCAUCACAUCAUUCCUGUUGCCGCUGUUCUCCUUUAGGUCCUUAGGAACAUUGAGAAACCAAUAGUUCUUACCUGGCAACAUAUCAGAUCAUCUGGAAACUUAACAAAAUAAAAAAAAUGCAACAAAAAACAGUUUCUGGGUUCUCCUCCCCUACAUGGUCUCAUUUAACUGGCUUGGGGUUGGACCCAGACAUUGGCAGUUUUUAAAAAAAGUCCUCUAGGUGAUUUUACUGUGUAGCUAGGAUUGAAAAGCAAGCAACAACUCAGUAGUAGUAUCUUUCUCAGAGAAAUCUGAACGUUGAGAGAUCUGAGGUUGAUAAGAAAGGAAUGCAGUUCUGACUAGCACAAUUUCAGACAUGAGUGGGUGGGUGGAGGGGCAUCCCCAGAAAUCACACCACCUAGAUCUAGCAUGGCACUUAGAGAGGAGGUACUAAAAUGUCUGCUGAAGGGAUAGAUGAAUUCAUACCAGCUCCUUGCUCUUGCAUAAAGGCUGAUCUCUCUACCUGAAGAGAAGAUUGAGCUAUGGAGACUGCUCUGACAAUGGAACAAUCUGGUAAACAAAAAUUCUAGAUCAGUUGUGGGAG